CAUUUCCUCAAUCCUCUUCACUGCUGACUGCUUCACGCCAUUUCCUCUUCUUCAACAAGACCACAACUGCUUCAGCUCUUCCACAAGACCCAUAAGAGAUGGCAAAUAGUGGAAGAGAUCCUUGCAUUGUUGAUGUUUGAUUGCAAUUUGCUAUUUUUUGCUACUAGUGUUCGACCAUGCCUCCUAAAGCUCGUUCACAUGUUUGGGAAUACUUUGCGAUAGUUCAAGACAAUGAAGAAGGGCGUAAAGUAAGGUGCUUGACAUGCGGUAUGAUACUUAAAUAUAAUCCAAAAGUGUCUGGCACAAUUUCCUUGUUGAAGCAUAUUGAGAAAUGUCUUGAGCGUCAACAAGAGAGGCAAAUUCGCCUUCAAAUUUAAGCUUAUGUUUUGAAUUUGGUGAAUUUCGGACCAAAUUGUGAUUGCUAGUAUUGUGUUAAGAUGAUGGAUUUAAGACUUAG